UCCCUCCCAGAGGGGGAGAAAGAGACGCAGGCGGCUUUUUCAAAAAGCUACGUCUGUUCGGAGAAACUCCGGCCAGUCUAAAUCAGCCAGGUUAUACUUUAAUUCUGGAAUAAGAUGGAAAACAGAUUAACAUUAAACAGAGAAAGUGAAAAGGACGGUGUGAGUACCAGACUACGUUAACUGCUGAAAAAGACAAAUUAGUUAUCUAGUUCACACGAGAAAGGGGUGUGUCCGAAUCCCGCAGUGAUUUGAGGGAAACUGAAGAAGCUUUCUGGCGUUAUGCAGAAAUGGUGUCUGCGCUCAGGUUGAAUACUGAAAGAAAAAAGUUGGACGGCAAGAGAUCGCAGUUUGUAGGAAGCACGGAUUAAAGCUGGAACUCGCAGUUGUGCUUUACGAUCCGCGGACAUAAGAAACCUGAAGACUGGCGUUAGCAGUGUCACAAGGUUGUGUUGUGCACAGGAUAAUGAAGUCAGCCUAAACCUAAACUAUGGCAUUGGUCAAGCAAAGCAUCGUCACAUGCCCGGUGUAUUCAGUAGCCUGAAGGUCCACUGUGGUGCAAGUAGUGAAGGAUGGCUGGCCAUUUAUCCCGGCCAAUACCCCCAAGCUGCCAG